rnacentral:lncRNA from 1 species
GGACAAGCACGAGAACCCGAGGCCUGGUCGGAUAUGGAUUGGGUGAUCUCACAUCUCCAAAUGACAUAGUCCAGUGCAUGUUCAAUGCAGGCUAUACGGCUGGAUUCUGGACAUGCCGGAACCGGAUUAAGAUGGCCUUCCCAAGGCUCGACCUCUUUAAUUUUUCUUUAGACGGUGAUGCGAAACCUUUCGCUCCCUAGGGC